rnacentral:rRNA from 1 species
AGAGUUUGAUCCUGGCUCAGAUUGAACGCUGGCGGCAUGCCUAACACAUGCAAGUCGAACGGCAGCACAGAGGAGCUUGCUCCUUGGGUGGCGAGUGGCGGACGGGUGAGUAAUGCAUCGGAACAUGCCUAGUCGUGGGGGAUACCGUAGCGAAAGUUACGUUAAUACCGCAUACGUCCUGAGGGAGAAAGCAGGGGAUUCGCAAGAACCUUGCGCGAUUAGAGUGGCCGAUGCCUGAUUAGCUAGUUGGUGAGGUAAUGGCUCACCAAGGCGACGAUCAGUAGCGGGUCUGAGAGGAUGAUCCGCCACACUGGAACUGAGACACGGUCCAGACUCCUACGGGAGGCAGCAGUGGGGAAUUUUGGACAAUGGGGGCAACCCUGAUCCAGCCAUUCCGCGUGAGUGAAGAAGGCCUUCGGGUUGUAAAGCUCUUUCAGCGGGAACGAAACGGUGCGCUCUAACAUAGCGUAUUAAUGACGGUACCCGCAGAAGAAGCACCGGCUAACUACGUGCCAGCAGCCGCGGUAAUACGUAGGGUGCGAGCGUUAAUCGGAAUUACUGGGCGUAAAGCGUGCGCAGGCGGCUUCUUAAGCCAGACGUGAAAUCCCCGGGCUUAACCUGGGAAUGGCGUUUGGAACUGGAAGGCUAGAGUGUGUCAGAGGGGGGUAGAAUUCCACGUGUAGCAGUGAAAUGCGUAGAGAUGUGGAGGAAUACCGAUGGCGAAGGCAGCCCCCUGGGAUAACACUGACGCUCAUGUACGAAAGCGUGGGUAGCAAACAGGAUUAGAUACCCUGGUAGUCG